rnacentral:misc_RNA from 1 species
GAUGAAGAACGUAGCGAAAUGCGAUAAGUAAUGUGAAUUGCAGAAUUCCGUGAAUCAUCGAAUCUUUGAACGCACAUUGCGCCCCCUGGUAUUCCGGGGGGCAUGCCUGUCCGAGCGUCAUUGCAACCUUCAAGCGCGGCUUGUGUGUUGGGUCUCGUCCCCCGUGGACGGGCCCGAAAGGCAGUGGCGGCGUCCCGACAUGGUGCCCGAGCGUAUGGGAAUCCUCUUCCGCUCGAAUCGGCCCAUGCGGCGCUGGUCGUAACCAAAUUUUUUACCGGUUGAACUCGGAUCAGGUAGGGAUACCCGCUGAACUUAAGCAUAUCAAUAAGCGGAGGA